AAUACACUCAAAGUAGUCUUAAAAUAAAACCCACAAAACAGUUCAAGAUUUAAUACUUUUUAUUUGCUCAUUUAAUGCCAGUUGCCCUGUUUUUCUGUAUGUCACUCAUUCGCUUAUACUUGGGCAAAAAGGACCAAUUUGUACACUAGUAUAGUGUAUUUUUUCCCUCUAUCUCUCUAUGUCUGUCACACACAGAGACCAACACACAGACAUGUAUAUGCUCAUUAUUGCUGUUCAAACUGAUGGUCAAAUUUCCAAGCACCACCUGAACGCCUCAUCUGUUUUUAACCUAUCACUGGACCAACUGUCGUCAUUCCGCUUCGCUCUCUGCUGUGGAACCUGACUGACACUGUGCUUUGCCUGUGUGCAGAAGAAGAACAAGGACCAGAUCUCCAGUCUUCUCUCUCACAUCCCAACCCCCCAACCCCUCUAUCCUCUGUCCUGCUCCACCUGUUGUCUCUGCCUUCUUUCCAUCUGUAUUUCACUCUGUGGUUUGUGAGAAAUUUUGCCAAACCAAGAAUCUUAUUGCGGUUUGAUUUAAAGCCGUGUCUCUCCUGCUCUGUCUGUUCUCUCUGCUAAAUUUUCUCUCUACCUGUUUUUCACUCUUGGCUUGCUGCUGAAAAACGCCAAGCCAACAAAGCAAUAAAGAGUGCAUAUUUUGCCUCAACCUAUGAACAAACUGAACAAACAAAGAAAAAUCUGCGGUUUGAUUUAAAGCCGUGUCUCUCCUGCUCUGCCUGUUCUCACUGCUAAAUUUUCUCUCUACCUGUUUUUCACUCUUGGCUUGCUGCUGAAAAACGCCAAGCCAUUAAAGCAAUAAAGAGUGCAUAUAUUGCCUCUACCUGAGAACAAACUGAACAAACAAAGAAAACUAAUUCACGGUUUGAUUGUGAUUUCCCAGCCGUGUCUCUCCUGCUCUGCCUGUUCUCUCUUCUAAAUUUUCUCUCUACCUGUUUUUCACUCUUGGCUUGCUGCUGAAAAAUGCCAAGCCAAUAAAGAGAGUGCAUAAUAUUCUCUCAACUGAAGAACAAACUGUCAAACGAAAGACAACUGUUUAAGACAAAUAAAAACUGAAAUAUAAAAACAAA